UUGGCACUAACACAAAAGGCCGAUUUGGAAUUAGAUAUUUCGCUUUUUCACUUAUCUUUUUUGCUUUUUUUUCUUCUUUCCACUCAAAAGAUAUUUUAAUUUCUCUCUUUUGAAUCUUUUUUCUUCUCGUCGUCCGUCGUCUUCACAAACCAAACUUCUCCACGAAAUAUCUUUAGCUUUUUUUUCUCCGAAGAAUCUGAGCUUCAAGAGGAGCUUAAUCUCUACCUGAAUUUCGAGAAAUUAGAGAGUAAAAAAAAAUGGGAGAAGAAGUGAGGAUGAGCGAUUACGAUGUUUCCGGCGACGGAGAUAGGGUUCUGGAAUGGGAGAUGGGAUUACCAAGCGACGAUGAUUUAGCAUCGCUUUCUUACUCUUUGAUUCCGGUGAAUCUGGCGAUGGCGUUUAGUAUCACACCUGAACGGAGCCGUACGGUUCAGGAUGUGAAUCGCGCAUCGGAGACGACGCUCUCGUCUCUGCGAAGCGGAUCUUCAGGUCCCAACACAUCGUCGUCGAACAAUAAUAGCAACGCGGUGGAGGAGGAGGAAGAUCGAGUCGGAUCGAGUAGUCCUGGAUCGGAUUUUAAGAAGCAGAAGAUAUCUGACGGAGAUGGAGACGGCGGUGGCGGUGUGGAUCCGGAUGCGGCGAUGGCGGCGGAGGAAGGAGAUUCAGGAACUGAAGAUCUAUCUGGGAAAACACUGAAACGACCUCGUUUAGUGUGGACGCCGCAGCUGCACAAGAGAUUCGUUGAUGUUGUGGCUCACUUAGGGAUCAAAAACGCGGUUCCGAAGACGAUCAUGCAGCUGAUGAACGUCGAAGGGCUAACUCGAGAGAACGUUGCUUCUCAUCUCCAGAAGUAUAGGCUUUACCUUAAAAGGAUGCAGGGUUUGACUAACGAAGGUCCCUCUGCUUCGGAUAAGCUCUUCUCUUCAACACCUGUGCCUCCACAGAGCUUUCAAGACAUCGGUGGCGGUAACGGCCAGGGGAAUGGAUCGGCUGGACAACUUAGAGUGCCAAUUCCAGUACCGUAUGGAGGGCAGCCGAUGAUGCAGAUGCCAGUUUAUGCGCAUCAUAUGGGUAUGCAAGGGUUUCAUCAUCAGAAUCAAGGUCAUGAUCCUUAUCAUCAGAACCAUCAUCAUCAUCAUCAUGGAGCUGGUGGAGCUGGAUCUGGUGCAUUUGAAUCAAAUCCGUAUAUGAUGCAGCAGAAUAAGUUUGGAUCCAUGGCUUCUUAUCCUUCCGUUGGUGGUGGUAGCGCGAAUGAGAAUUAAAAACUGAGUCUUUAAGAAGAUGUGGGGAAGAAGAGAUAGGUUCUUGGCUUCUCGUACUUUUCCAGUUUGUCACAUCUUUAGAAAUUUCUUAUCAUAUGCCGAGUUUUCCCACUCCAAGGAGAGAUCAAACAAACAUAUCAUGUUGAAGCUAAAGCAGUCAGUACUCUUGGAGCACCAAUGCAUACUUAAAGACUUCUUGACAAGUUUCAUAUACUCGUUUACUUUCUUGUGAGAGUCCUCAUCAAGCGUACAAACUCUUCCAGCGAGCUGUGUGAAGAACCUCCACUUCUAACAGAGGCUCUAAGCUGCUCUUUCAAACUGAAAGCUAUCUUCCUCAUAUCCUCUCCUUCUUCGUCCACCAUUAACCUCUUAACAGCUCUCUCGACCACUCCUCUGUCUAGCUCACCCUCCACUUGAAUCCCAGUUUUCCAAACACACUCCACGUAUCUCGCGUUCACCUUUUGAUCACUCGUAGAUGGCCAGCAGAUCAUGGGAACUCCUUCGCUGAUGCUUUCUAGUGUUGAGUUCCAUCCACAAUGGCUCCAAAAUCCUCCUAUUGCGUGAUGAGCAAGUACUUUCUUCUGUGGAGCCCAUUUCACAAUGUAACCUCUAUCCGAGACCGUCUUACUAAACUCUUCAGGCAAAGACUCUGUCCAUUCUGAACCAUGUAUCGACCCUGGUGGGAUCACCUAUAAAAAGUGUUGGUUGCUAGCAGCCAAUCC